CCCCUUCGGGGGACAAAGUGACAGGUGGUGCAUGGUUGUCGUCAGCUCGUGUCGUGAGAUGUUGGGUUAAGUCCCGCAACGAGCGCAACCCUUAAGCUUAGUUGCCAUCAUUAAGUUGGGCACUCUAAGUUGACUGCCGGUGACAAACCGGAGGAAGGUGGGGAUGACGUCAAAUCAUCAUGCCCCUUAUGAUUUGGGCUACACACGUGCUACAAUGGACAAUACAAAGGGCAGCGAAACCGCGAGGUCAAGCAAAUCCCAUAAAGUUGUUCUCAGUUCGGAUUGUAGUCUGCAACUCGACUACAUGAAGCUGGAAUCGCUAGUAAUCGUAGAUCAGCAUGCUACGGUGAAUACGUUCCCGGGUCUUGUACACACCGCCCGUCACACCACGAGAGUUUGUAACACCCGAAGCCGGUGGAGUAACCUUUUAGGAGCUAGCCGUCGAAGGUGGGACAAAUGAUUGGGGUGAAGUCGUAACAAGGUAGCCGUAUCGGAAGGUGCGGCUGGAUCACCUCCUUU
rnacentral:rRNA from 1 species